rnacentral:rRNA from 1 species
UACGGCUCAGUAACACGUAGUCAACCUAACCUAUGGACGGGGAUAACCUCGGGGAAACUGAGAAUAAUACCCGAUAGAUCAUGAUACCUGGAACGGUUUAUGGUUCAAAUGAUUUAUCGCCAUAGGAUGGGACUGCGGUCUAUCAGCUUGUUGGUGAGGUAAUGGCCCACCAAGGCUAUAACAGAUACGGGCUCUGAGAGGAGGGGCCCGGAGAUGGGUACUGAGACACGGACCCAGGUCCUAUGGGGCGCAGCAGGCGAGAAACCUUUGCAAUGUGCGAAAGCACGACAAGGUUAAUCCGAGUGAUUUCUGCUAAAGAAAUCUUUUGUUAGUCAUAAAACCACUGAUGAAUAAGGGGUGGGCAAGUUCUGGUGUCAGCCGCCGCGGUAAUACCAGCACCUCGAGUGGUCAGGAGGUUUAUUGGGCCUAAAGCAUCCGUAGCCGGCUGCAUAAGUUUCAGGUUAAGUCCACACGCUUAACGUAUGGGCUGCCGGAAAUACUGUUCAGCUAGGGAGUGGGAGAGGUGGACGGUACUCGGUAGGAAGGGGUAAAAUCCUUUGAUCUAUUGAUGACCACCUGUGGCGAAGGCGGUCCACCAGAACACGUUCGACGGUGAGGGAUGAAAGCUGGGGGAGCAAACCGGAUUAGAUACCCGGGUAGUCCCAGCUGUAAACGAUGCAGACUCGGUGAUGCAUUGGCUUGUGGCCAGUGCAGUGCCGCAGGGAAGCCGUUAAGUUUGCCGCCUGGGAAGUACGGUCGCAAGAUUGAAACUUAAAGGAAUUGGCGGGGGAGCACCACAAGGGGUGAAGCCUGCGGUUCAAUUGGAAUCAACGCCGGG